rnacentral:rRNA from 1 species
GACGAACGCUGGCGGCGUGCUUAACACAUGCAAGUCGAACGGAAAGGCCCUGCUUUUGUGGGGUGCUCGAGUGGCGAACGGGUGAGUAACACGUGAGUAGCCUGCCCUUGACUUUGGGAUAACUUCAGGAAACUGGGGCUAAUACCGGAUAGGAGCUCCUGCUGCAUGGUGGGGGUUGGAAAGUUUCGGCGGUUGGGGAUGGACUCGCGGCUUAUCAGCUUGUUGGUGGGGUAGUGGCUUACCAAGGCUUUGACGGGUAGCCGGCCUGAGAGGGUGACCGGCCACAUUGGGACUGAGAUGCGGCCCAGACUCCUACGGGAGGCAGCAGUGGGGAAUAUUGCACAAUGGGCGGAAGCCUGAUGCAGCAACGCCGCGUGCGGGAUGACGGCCUUCGGGUUGUAAACCGCUUUCGCCUGUGACGAAGCGUGAGUGACGGUAAUGGGUAAAGAAGCACCGGCUAACUACGUG